GGCAAUGCAGUCUAAGAGCUGGCUACUGCUAAUGUGAUUUCUGGAUUUGAGAGGAUGAGAACUUGAGAAGAACAAGCUUGAUACUACAAUUGCAAAAAAUAUAUUCUAUACUACAGGUAUUCCUUUCAGUAUUGUUGCAGCAAACCUUAGUUAGCUAAUUUUCUAUGAACUGGUUGUGAUUGAUUUCUGAACUUUAGAGCUUGUGAAUUGUAAUUUGUUGUUUCAUAGGAUCCUUGAAGGUCAAUACAAGGGUAUCCUACGAAAAUUCAUUACUUCCUAUAAUCAUACUAAUGUUUCAGAUUUUUAGUUAAGCAUUUUAGAAUUCUUGCAAACAUAGGAGUAUAUUAAAUCUUCAUCCUCUUAACUAGUUGAGAGUUGAGACACACCAUACAUAGGCUCUGCAAGCAGGCGGAAAUAGACCUCUUCGUCGAUGACUUCUACGAGGACGAUAUUGACCUAGAGGCUGGAGCUUUGCUACUCUUUCCGGCCAACAACAAGGGAUCGUUUACUUUUUCUCUCCCCACAUCCAGUCCUUCCCUGUUCCUAUCCCUCCUGCUUAUUUCUUGCUAUAGGGCAACAUAAUGCAAGUGUUUGUUAAAUUGUUGGUCUCAAUGCUCCAUUCUAGCAGAAGGAUUUUCGGUAGGAAGACAUAGCAUCAAUCAAGGAUUUUCGGGUGGAAGACAUAGCAUCACUCAUGGUUGUAUAGAUUUACUGUUGUAUUUCUGUAUUUUUGCAAAACUAGUUCAGUAAAGCUUGUAGCUUAUUUCAGUUCUUAAGUGGUUUUACACUUAGGCUUGUAUUGACUUACUACUUAUUUUUUCCAUAAUUUUGCAACACUAGUUCUGUAGUACAUAGUACAAUUUUUUAUGGAAUCAAGUCAAAAUACAUGUAUAUCUAGCCGUUUGUAUUUCUACAGUCAUGCUUCUAAAGAUUGUAUGGUUUUAUUUUCACUAUAGAUUUGCUUGAGUAGUUCUGUAACUUCUAGAAUAGAUCAGUUAAGAGGUUUUACUCUUAGGCUUGUAUAAACUUACAACAUCUUUUAUUUGUAUUUUUGGAACAUUAGUUUUGUAUAGCUUUACUUUAGUUUCUGGAAACAAGAUUAAAUACGUAUGUUUGCAGUUUGUAAUUUACAGUAGUAUUUUUUGUGAAUUUGCUUCACUAGUUCUGUAAAAUGUCUAGAAUAGUUCACUUCUGGAAUGAAGAGUUAAUAUGUAUUAAUCAAUCUUCUAAUUUUACCUUUUCGCUUGUAUAGAUUUCCAGCUGUAGUAUUUUUGUUAUUUUUCUUCAGUAGUUUUGGAAAAUGGACUAAAUAUGAAAAGUUGGUUCUAAUUUAUUGUCAGUCUUUUUCUAUAGAUGUUACAGUUGCAUUUUUCUUAUUAGUUUUUGGCAAUUUUGCAAUGAGAAAGGUUUAACAACUGUAGUCUGUUCUGGUUUAUAAGGGCAUUGUAUCCAUGAGGAAAUUUGUUACUUAUUUCUAAAUACAUCUCUUACUGUUUAUCUGUAUGUUGCAGAGCAACUCACAUUGGUGUAGCUUAGAUGCAUUUUAAGAUAUGGCAUGAAGCUAGCUAAGGUCUUCUAUUAUUUCUAGCAGCAUGUGAUUGACUGAACAAGAGAAGGACUCCACUCACAUAUGAAGUGCUUGCAAGUUCUUUUUAAAAAAGCAAAGGACCAGCGGUGUAGCUAAGGGCUUUAAUUUAUUAGUACUCCAUUUGUUGCUUCUAAAACACUUGUAUGCACAGAUACUAGUUUCUCUUGGUUAUCAUAAGUGAACAUUCUUUAGAUAAAUUUCGCCUAGUUUUUUUAGUGGGGAAGGAAAGCUUCAUGAUAUUCCAUUUAAAACGCUGAUAUCUAUUUGAGAAUUAAUUUAUGUGCAUACCUCCUCGACCUAACAGUAUUUUUCUACUGUAUAGGAGAAAUCUUCUCAGUUUCUGAAUCCUGAGCAGUAGCAAGUCAGGUGCUUAAUGGUGAUCCUACCAUGCAUAUGGCAUAAGCAAGUUAGUUCUAAAAAGGUCAUUGUUAAUUUGCCCACAUCUAUCCUGCAAUUGCGACAACUUAGUGCGGUGAGAUUAGAGGACGGUCAUCAAUUUAAUCUACUUUGUGGCACUAAAGUAUAGAUGCUUUUCUCCGAUGCUUUUAUGAAUAUAAUAGUCAGAUGUAGUUUAAGUUCAGAUACUUUUUGACUUUUUGUUUGGUAUUUUGCAUGUCCUCAUGUGCUUAGUACUGCAUUUAGAAAUGAUUUCAGAUAGAUUCUUCUCAUUGAAAUUCAUUUCUAACGCAGGGAAAGUAUGUAUAACCUCCUGAUGUACGUGGGUUUUGAGAAUGCUUUUCCCAGGCCAUGCUGCACUCAUCAUUGAAACUUCUAGUUGUGUAUUAGAUAGUAAUCAUUUUUGCCUAAUGUAUUGCUGUCUAGUGCAGCAAAGUGCGGUCUUUCCACCCCAGAGAAGAAAAAGAAAGAGAACUAGUGCAGUCUUUUCUUCAAAAAUGACUUUCAUGUGUCCCUUGGUGGAUGUGUUGCUCCCAAUAAUUGGGUGUCUGGACAUGCUAAAUUGUUGCCUUGUGGCCAGAUGAUGCAUAUGCUCCUUUUCCAUUUAAUAUACUUCCUGGUCUGCGGAUUGAGGAGAUUCAUACAAGCUAUAUGGUGGGUCGGUGUGGCAUUCAUGCUUUAUUAUGUCUAACCCAUCACAGAUUCUAAUUAGAACAUGCCCUAUAUUUAUAAUACUAAAAUCCCAGUUUGUUUUUGCCAUUGGCGCUUUAUACAAUUAUCAUUUUUCCAUUAUCUCCAUGAAUGCGUGAAUUCACCGGUCACCCUUUUAUCCUUUGUAGGAAUGAAAUACAAGAGGACCAGGAAGUAAGCAUGAAGAUGGCAGUUUGUGUCAGGUAGGCAUUUUGUGUAAUGGGGCAAAAACAUUGUGUAUUUUAUCAUUUUGUAAACCUAUAUAGUGUCUUGUCAAUUGGGUAUUUUGUGUAAUGGAGCAAACAAUGAAACAUUGGACAUGCAUCUAUCAUUUUGUAACCAAUCAGUUGUCUUGGUGAUUGAAACAUAAAUGCUUCUUCCUUUCAGUUA
rnacentral:lncRNA from 1 species